AGGGUAUUCAGAGCAACAGGCAGAGGUUGAGCCUUUUGAUAUUUGCUUGCCCAAGACUGGAACUGCUCUAAAGCUAAAACCUUCUUUGCUUGUGAAGAAUAGAGAAAAGAGGAAUGAUGUCAGGCGAGCUGCAGACGGGGUGUAUGGACAGAUACUAAGACCUGGGAUGGUUUUACUAAAGAAUCACUUAUCCUUGCAUGAUCAGGUGCUGCUUGCUUUAUGCUCAUUCUUUUCCCUUAUUGAGUUAAUUCGUCUUUGCCUCUUUAAAAGUUACAUGUGCUACUCUUGGCUUUCAUUCAUUGAUGCAGAAUGUUAUUGAGUUCAUAUUACAUACAGUGAGCUCGACCUAAAUCUACAGGACUAUGAAAUAUAGUAAGACAGUUGGUAAUUAAUAAACCUUACUGAAAAAAUGGCUUCUGGUGUCUUAACAACUAGUCUAUUGAUGACUUGUAUUAUGAGUCUGAGAGAAAUUAACGGUGCAGUCUGUGAACUUCCAUUUUCAUUGAUUUAUUAUUUACCUUAUGAUUUAACAAGUAUUAAUUUAUUGUUUGCUUUGACUUGUUACUAGAUAAAAAUAAUAAAGCUAUGCCGAGAUAUUGGUCUGGGUCCUGGAGGUUUCUACCAACCAGUUUACCGUGAUGGUGGAAGAAUGCAUUUGAAAAUGAUGUCCCUUGGUAGAAGUUGGGACCCUGAUAGAGGUAAGUAUCUAGAACAUCGGCCAUUUGAUGGUGCUAAGGCACCCGUUUUUCCUAGUGACUUCCAUCGGCUGGUUGAGAGAGCAAUCAAAGAUUCCCAUGCUCUUAUAGAAAAAAAUUGUAAAUCUACAGCUGCUGAAGACAUUCUACCAUCAAUGUCACCUAACAUCUGUGUCGUAAACUUUUACUCAGAAAGUGGGCGGCUUGGUCUUCAUCAGGUUUGCAGUGUCAACUUUCUUAUACUAGUUGCAGUUUUCCCGGACACCUUUUAUGUUGCCUUGUGCGUUGUUCUGUAUUAAAAAAAUGAUUUUGCAUUUUAUGAGGUUUAAUAAAGAUGCCUUUGGCUUUUCCUGACCGCCUCUUGGCACGCUUAGAAUACGUUGUCUCCAUGCAGGAUAAAGAUGAAAGUCCAGAGAGUCUGCGCGCAGGAUUACCUGUGGUUUCCUUUUCCAUAGGAGAUAUAGGAGAAUUCCUAUAUGGUGAUCAGAGGGAUGUUGAGAAGGCAGAAAAGGUUAAGUUGGAAUCCGGGGAUGUACUGAUCUUUGGCGGGAUGUCUCGGCAUAUUUUCCAUGGUGUAAGUUCUGUUCAACCAAAGACUGCCCCGGCGGCCCUGCUUGAUGAAACAAAUCUCCGUCCAGGUCGUCUAAAUCUCACUUUCCGUGAGUAUUGAAGACCAUAAAUAUACUAUGAGUUGUUUCUAGUGAUUGUACACAUGACAGUUCUGUUGUGUCCCCCCGCUUGGUUUUGGUGCGAAGCCAUCAAUACUCGUGGAUACAAUCUAAAAGGCUACUUUUUCUAAUCUGCUGACUAGGGCAUACGAAAGCAUCCCAUACGUGUGGAGAUAUAGUUUGAACUGCAUGAAAUGAGAAGGGUCAAGACAACUAUCAUAACCCAAUCAAGAAAACCAAAAGGAAAAGUUCUGCUGUUUGGAGUAAUCUGUGCAAUUUUUAAAAACACCUGCCGAAUCUCUGCUCAUCUGAAGGUGUUGCAUAAAGGACAAUUUAUUCAUAAAUAUACAAGUUUCAGAUGAAAAGAUCUAGAGCAGAACCAUGCUCCCUUAAUAGAUAAGUAUGUCCAAAUCAUGUCAGUUUAACUACUUCUGGCACUUGAUGUCUAAAUAAAAAAUUCACACAGGCCAUGAGCAAAUUUUCAACAUACAAGCACAGAAAAAAUUGGCAAUCCAUGCAUCAAAGAUCAGGCAGUACUUUUUUAUGCAAAACACUCCAGGAGAUGGUAGAGGUCUUGACGGUCAUUGAAACUCUUGAAAAAACAGUGCAGGGAGAAUAUCAAAAGUAGAGGUUACUCUAAACUACAAGCAACAUAUAGAUGCUGCAAUUCCUGUACAGUUGAUGUAAACAAUAUUUUUUAAAAAAUAAAAAAUAUAUUAUUUUAAUAUAUUUUUAAAUAAAAAAUACAUUUUAAAAAAUAACUGUUAUUAAAUUUUUAAACGCUCAUAGUUCAAGUGCGGCAAGUGGGAAUUUCCAAGCUUGGAACUUGGACCAUCUAGCAGAUAGUGUAGGGUCGUGGUGUCUUAAAUCUGAUGAAUCAAGGAUGAAGAGGUGUUUAAGAUUGAGAAGAAAGCGUGGCAGUUGCUUCGAGGCUCCAUUGUGAGUUACUGUGGCAAACUAAUGGGUAUUUUUUUUUUUUUUUUUUUGGAUAUUGGGUUGAAUUCAAUUGGUUGAAUUUCCAUACAAUAAUUUUAGAGUUGGGUUCAAGAUUUAGAAAAGGGAGGAGAAAAUGUUGAAUGUGAUGGGUUUUUUUUUUAUGAAGAAGUUGUAAUAUUUAAUAUAAGGAUUCUUUAACUAUCAUAUAAAAAAUAAUGUCUGAAAUUUUUUAUAUAUUUCCGACAGAAGUAUUCGUAGUGAUUUCGUCAUCAAUAAAAUCUUAAAAACAGUGUACCAAAAGAAAGACUCAUAACUGCACUCUUUGACUUCCUUUACCUUUCUUUUUCUAUCUAUUUAUUUAUAUAUUUCCUGUCACCUGCUUUGUUAGUAAGCAAACAGUCUUUGCAAAUCACAACAUCGAUCCCUCCAAUCGCUGAUUUAUUAUCAUAAAGAAGCUCGAUUUAUUUCCCGCCAAACUUAAUCCAACAAUGAAUCGUGAUCCUGGUCGAGGUCGAGGUCGGGGACGAGAUCUAGGUCGAGGUCGAGGACGAGAUCGAGGUGGAGGUCCAUGGCGCAGUCCCGGAGGAGGCGCGCAUUGGGUUCCCAAGGGGAGAUCUUCGGAUCCUUCUUCCCACAGUAGCUAUUCUGUAACUUCGUCGUCCCUCUUCUUUUAUUUCAUUCCUGGUGUUUUUCUUUUAUUGAUUGAUGGAUGUUGGAAUCUUCAAGUUUUGUGAUUAGUGGGCUUUUUAUAUUAUGGCAAUAUAUUUCUUGUUUGGUGUAAAUUGAUUGUGAUAAUCAUCAUGGAUACAUCAUUUAAAUUAAUUUAAACUUAUUUUAUGUAUUUUUUUUGCAUGCAUAUUAUUUAAUUUGUUUUUUAGGACCCAUUUUGGUGGGUUUAUUUCUUUCCUCUUUUUUUUUUUUUUUAUAUAUAAUUAAUCCUGAUAGUUAUUGCAUAUUUUGUUUAUUUAUUAAUAAAUGGGUAUUAGGAGGUUCGCAUUGAUGGGAAAGUUUGCUAAUGUCAUGUAAUCUGGAAACGGCGUAGGUUGGACCAGAUGAGUCUUCUUCUGGUGAGAAACCUUUUAGCGACAGAGACAGAAACUCGCAGCCGAAAUCACGACGGUGGUUUCCAAGUUAUCCUAACAGCGCAGGUAACAUUUUUUGCCAAGAUGAGUCUUCUUCUGUUGAGAAACCUUUUAGCAACGGAGACAGAAACUCGCAGCCGAAUUCACGACGGUGGUUUCCAAGUUAUCCUAACAGUGCGGGUAACAUUUUUUGCCAGAAGGAACCAUUAGAAAAUAAGUCAUUAGAAGAUAGCAUGUCCAGUACGGGAAGGAUCCUGCACGACCAAAGUGCUCCCAGUUGCAGCAGUCUUUGGUCAAAUCAGUCAGAUUGUUCUGUGGCUUCAAAUUCAGUUAACAAGGGCGAUUCUCCAUUGAUGCCAGCUAUUUCAGGUUCUAGGGAUAUGAAGUCUGAUAUUGUUAGCGCUCCAUUGGAAAAGGGAGCAAAGGAUGGUGCAGUGCACCUUCAUUUCUCUCUCAAAGUGAAUAUUACUGUCCUAUUGCAAAAUCAGAAUGAGUCUCACCUGUCAUCUCAAGCUGGUGCUAAUGACCAGCUUUCACAAGAAAAGGAUCCCAAUAUUGUGGUAUCUGCUGGGGAUUCAGGGUAUUCAGAGCAACAGGCAGUGUUUGAGCCUUUUGAUAUUUGCUUGCCCAAGACUGGAACUACUCUUAAGCUAAAACCUUCUUUGCUUGUGAAGAAUAUAGAAAAGAGGAAUGAUGUCAGGCGAGCUGCAGACGGGGUGAAUGGACUGAUACUAAGAUCUGGGAUGGUUUUACUAAAGAAUUACUUAUCCUUGCAUGAUCAGGUGCUGC
rnacentral:lncRNA from 1 species